ensembl:lncRNA
GACCUGGUAGUGGACCAGUGUCAACAUGACUGAGAAGACACAUGACCUGGUAGUGGACCAGUGUCAACAUGACUGAGAAGACACAUGACCUGGUAGUAGACCAGUGUCAACAUGACUGAGAAGACACAUGACCUAGUAGUAGAUCAGUGUCAACCUGACUGAGAAGACACAUGACCUGGUAUGAAAGACAAAACAAAACAAGAUGGGAAAUAUUAUCGACAUUCCAUUACACUUUUCACUGGCUGUCCCUCAGGUUGUGGCAGGAGGACACAUUGUGGCUUUUCACCCAAUAAAUAUUUUUAUUUUUUCUUCAUUUUUUAUAGUUUCAAAUUCUUUGUAUUGAAUUAUAAUUUUGGGAAAAAAAUAUUCUCUUAGGUCUGAGUAUUUGUCACAGUGUAGUAGGAAAUGCAUCUCUGUCUCUACCUCUCCCCUGGAGCAGAGUGAGCACAGACUGUCCUCUCUGGGCAGCCAGGUUUGUCUGUGACGACCGGUCUCUAUAGCCAGACUGUCCUCUCUGGGCAGCUAGGUUUGUCUGUGACGACCGGUCUCUAUAGCCAGACUGUCCUCUCUGGGCAGCCAGGUUUGUCUGUGACGACCGGUCUCUAUAGCCAGACUGUCCUCUCUGGGCAGCCAGGUUUGUCUGUGACGACCGGUCUCUAUAGCCAGACUGUGCUCACUGAGUCUGUACCUAGUCAAUGUUUUCCUCAGUUUUCUAUCAGUCACAGUGGUCAGAUAGUCUGCCACCAUGUACUGUCUGUUUAGAGACAAAUAGCAUUGAAGUUUACUCAGAUUUUUUGUGGUGUCUUUCCAAAAGAUGAUUUAUUUUUGUUCUGGGCUCUUUGUUAUAUUGCUGUAGAGGGUUGUAAGCUGUUUUCUCCACAUAGCCAGUUCCUCCUGAUGAGGUUUGUUUCAUUUAUUCCAAUUCUCCCAGAAGUGGUUAGAUUCUAUGGAUUCCUGAAUUCUAUCCAGCUGAUUUUCUGCUCCGUUUUUUGUUCUUAAGUGUGUAUUGCUUAAGUGUGUAUUGCUUAAGUGUGUAUUGCUUAAGUGUGUAUUGCUUAAGUGUGUAUUGCUUAAGUGUGUAUUGCUUAAGUGUGUAUUGCUUAAGUGUGUAUUGCUUCAAUGUUUCUCCAUAUUGAAGGUGUAUAUUUAUGUUGUCUAGUUCUCUG